rnacentral:rRNA from 1 species
UACGUAGGGCGCAAGCGUUAUCCGGAUUUAUUGGGCGUAAAGAGCUCGUAGGCGGUUUGUCGCGUCUGCCGUGAAAGUCCGGGGCUUAACCCCGGAUCUGCGGUGGGUACGGGCAGACUAGAGUGCAGUAGGGGAGACUGGAAUUCCUGGUGUAGCGGUGAAAUGCGCAGAUAUCAGGAGGAACACCGAUGGCGAAGGCAGGUCUCUGGGCUGUAACUGACGCUGAGGAGCGAAAGCAUGGGGAGCGAACAGG